UCUGUUUCACGUUCUGCAAAAUCCGUUGCGGCAACGAUAAUUGCAAUUUCAUUAAUUGCUAUCGCUGGAGCAUCAAAGCAUCUUCCUGUUGACCAAUAGCUAAGUAAUAAUUAAAUAUAUCAAGGUUAUUUAAAAAAUAUUAUCCUGUACUAUGUAAUAGAAAUCCUAUUUAUGUAUUCUCGGUGGCUUUCCGUCUAAUUGUGAGCAAUCUUUAUUAAAUCUAGGCCAAUUCAUUGUUUUGUUAACCAGUGUAAGAAAUCCUAUUUAUGUAUUCUCGUUCGCUUUCCGUCUAAUUGUGAGCAAUCUUUAUUAAAUCUAGGCCAAUUCAUUGUUUUGUUAACCAGUGUGAGAAUAUUGCAGCUCGACUGUUCGAGAGAUAAAUUCCUGACAAUGAAAUGGACGUAUGGACAUAACUAAAUCUAUUUAUCUUGCAUUGCUAAUCAAUAAUGUAUAUGGAUUAAAUAGCAACAAAUACGUUCUUUAAUCGUAAUUGGUUCCGAAAUUUCAAGACUAUCUUGGAAACUA